rnacentral:lncRNA from 1 species
GAAGUCAACAGCUCAAAAGAGGUCACCCAACCAAAGUGGACUACUCCACCCGGAAGAGCUCUCUCAGAAGAACCUCGUCCGGUUGUGGUAUGUCAUGUCUUAACAUCAUGUUAAUACCACAUGUGCAGAGACAUGAGACCACGCUAAUCCUAGGUGUAUACUCGGGUCUGGGUUUUAGCCCCACUCAGAACACCCACCCCAAAUCAAAGGAACCACACCUGUCCAGAAU